rnacentral:lncRNA from 1 species
AAGGAGUUAGACAAAGCCUGAGCCCGGGAGCAGAGGCAAGCGCUGCCGGGAGCUAGACGGGGCCGUUCUUCCCUCCCCGUCCUCCCCCACCCUCCGGCGAGGGGUACUCGGGAGCCCAUCUCCAUCCCGCCACGCUGGCACGUUGUCCCGGUCCCUCGGGCUGACCGGGGCGCAGCCCCGUCCCCGGUAAUGCCCGGGAGGGAAGCGGGCGUCUCCAUCACCAGGGGUGCCUGCACCGUGUCCCCGGCUCCACCAGCCACAGCAGCGCCUGGUCCUGCUCCCGGUCCUGCUGCGCCGGGAGAAGGCUGACUUUUACGACCCGUGGUGGGACUAGCAU